GGGGGGGGGGGGGGGGGGGGGGAGCAGCGCCGCCUCCAGCGCCGGGAAGAAGAAAUUCCUGGUCCUGCUGUUGUUGCUCCUCUUCAAGUUGCCGCUCCUUCGUCCGGAGCUCCUCUGCAGGACCGUCGGGUGAUGCUGGUGGUGGUGGGCACCUCUGGUUUCACCACUGCUGCUGGUGGGAAACGCCGACGCCCUCCGAUCCCCGUCGCCAACCCCCCGAGGCAUCCGCCUCUGCCUGUAGAAGAAGGGAGGGGCAGUUUAAAUCAAGAUGCGACGCAGAAAAGAAAAGCACAUAUGAACAGAGUAUAUCUACUGUUGUAGCAAUGCAGAAAGUUCAAAUCAAGAUGCAACAAUGCUUCACUGUAAGAAGAAGCCAACAAAAAAAGGAUAAAGCAACGACUAUGAGUGACUAUGAGUUUGCAGUCAUGUUGUUCAUACCGUCGGAAGCGACAAGAUCCAGACUGGAACAAAUGCAGCAACGAAGAUAUUUGCUAUAGAUGAAACGUGUGCACUGCAGCUCUGUUGAGAGAGAUGAUUUGAAUGCACUCUUGCAACAUCCCUUGCAGCCUAAGUCAUUCUCACACCGCUAUUUGGCUGGGGCGGGUAUAUCACCAUUGCUUCAAAAGCAACUAGAAGAGUUGUCCAAGAGGAAUGUAAACAGUAAUAGCAGUAAUGACGAUAAUAAAGGGUCACGAUUUGUUAUUAUUGGCCAGGAUCGUGUGGAACCGUUGCAAGCCCUUCAAUAUUCUGGACAAGAGAUUUGUGUGAUCAUGGACAAGCAAAGGGAGAAGAGAAGACUUGCUGAGAAUUGGAGGCGAAAGAAACACGAAGAGAAGAAAAUUAAACUUCUAUCAUCUUUUUACUGUAUUCACUUAUUACCUGAACUCAGAUGAAUAUUGGAUGUAACAUGUCUCUGAUUAAGUGUUUUAUAUUUCAAAUAUCACCUUAACUAUACUUGCGAUGAAAAACAGUACAUAAUCAUUGUACACGCAAAGCACACCCACCUUAUAAGUACCGCCUUCUAUUUUCAGGCACACAGGAACAAAAGAAAAAGGACACGAGAAGUGCUAAAGAGAGGGACUGAAUAAUAAAUGAAAUACUGAAAAAGGAGGCAUGUAUUGUUUUGAGAUUAUUUGUCUCGGGCCACUUCAGUUCCACGAUUCCUUCAUAGUCCGCAACUAACAGAGUGAACAUUUUUUUUUUGCUGAACCAUGAAUCUUAUGGGAAGUAGCGAGCUUUAGAGACUAUGAUUUCGCUGCGGAGGUGUCACCUAAUAAUUCUACAUUCCAGAUUUUUUUAAGAAUCACUUCGCUUCCCAUGGCAUUGUUGUUUCAAAGACGGAGCUAUCCCAGUUUGUUGCUCUAUCAUUUAUGCUGCAACUUGUUGUUCAUUCCUUUACAUUUCUUUUACAACUUUUAGUGAAAGGCAACCUCCAAUCAAGCAGCGAUUUACCAAAGAGCAGUUUCAAGUUUUCUCUUUCUUUUGUACAUUGUUGUUGUGCAUAACUUGUUCUGUUAUAGAGAUUUAAAUGAGUAUUGUUCUACUUUAGAUUACUGCACCUUCUGGUUGUGAGUGGAUCUAAGAAUUAACAUGAUACGAUAUCUUCUCGAAAGAUGAUACAUUAUCUCGACACCAGCAUGUGUCAUUGUUUGGGCAUUAGAUAGGUUAGCAUUUUUAAUAUGUGUAUUUAACAAUAUUUUGUGAAAUGGAGUUAUGGAUCUAUGAUCUAACAAGUUCACUAGCAUUUGGUAGGUUUGCAAGCUUCCACAAUUUCAUUGCACAUGAUUUACUACUGAAAUAUUCAUGAAUUUAUGAUCUGACAAGUUCACUAGCAUUUGGUAGGUUUGCAAGCUUCCACGAUUUCGGAUCCGUUCGGAGAUACUCCGGCUCCUAACUCUGCGGUGGAGCGGAGCGACGUGCAGUUCAUUUCUUUGGAGCGGGCAUUCUGUCGCUCCUUGUUUCCAAAGGAACGGAGUGGUACAUUGCCGAACAGGCACUUCAUUGCACAUGAUUUACUGAAUUGCAGAUAUCAAAAGGCACAUGGAGAAGGAUGUUAACGAAGUGAUAAAGGUUGCACGGCUCACAAAAUCAAAACUACAGCAAUUGAAUAAAGAGGAUUUCACUAAUGAGGUUGACAUUUCCGGAUGAUUUUUUACCUGAACAGAGUGGCCUUCAUAUCAAGCAUUGAAGGCAAACCUUUCUGAUGUUUGUCUAUGCAUCGUACGUUUAAUAGUUGGCCACUAUGGUUUUUCAUCUCUCAGUACCCAUAACACUAUGCAAAGGAUCUUCUGAAAACAAUAUUUUAAUUAGCAGAAGUGUCUUGCUAACAUCAAAGUAGUUCCAAACUGAACUUGCGAAGAAGGAAAUAAUAUUUUCCGACAAGCUAGAUGAAAAUAAUUCGUAAAUAUGUGAUUAUUUGGCUUUCCAAAAGCAUAUGUACACAUAAGUAUUUGCUUGAUAAUUAAAUAUGAGUUAUGUGCAA